rnacentral:lncRNA from 1 species
ACUAACCAGAUGCUCCGCAGGGCGUAGCUUUAUACGACCGCAGAGGUUGAACCCUGAACGGUUAGGGCAAGUAUGGACACAACAUUCAAGCUGGAUUCAGCUCUAAAUUUGGAUUGUGAUUAAAUAGUUGACACAGAAUGAGUGUGUUCUAAUGAACUUAAAAUUUUUGUUUCUCUUAGAGCAAUUCACUAUGCUGUUGAAUAUUAA